CUCUCUACUUGUUUGAGCUGAGCACAACUUUGAAUCUUUAUUCUUCAUACUUCGUAUUCCGUCUUCUUUAAUAAUUCCACAAUAUUCCAAUGUUCUUUGUUUACUUGACAAGGCUUAACUAUCUAGCCUUUUGAUUAUAUACUUCAGCCUUUGUUGGCUUUUGAAGUAUUUUAUCCUAAAUGGCUCUUCUCAAUUCACUCUCCGCUCUCGACUCUCAGGUUGUGCUCAGCUUUUAUACUAAAUUUUAGAGGAAGAAAUCUAUAACUAUGACUAAUUUAAUAGUUUUGUUUGUGGAAACCCACGUAAAUUUAUUACUGCAAAGCUUUUGAUCCGUAGGCCCGGAUCUUCAUCAGUGCUAAUAAUAUGUGACUUGUUUAAUUCACACGCUCUUUGAGUAAGUAAUUCACACGCUAUUUUUAGUAUUUAUUAGCUUUGCAGUAAUAAAUUUACUUCGUGUUUCCACAAACAAAACUAUUAUAUUUUAUCACCAUGCAAACAUACAGAGAACUUAUUAUGACUAAUUUCCUCUACGCAAUAAGAUUGUCAAAGCAAGUUCUAUCAGUGUUGAUCAACCACAAAACCACGUCCCGUUUUGGUGGUUUGUGGUACUAGGCGUUUCCCGUGGUUCUUUAAUCUUUCUAAGUAUUUGCUUACUCAUGCGAGGAAGGUUACCUAAGGUCUUCCACUGAUAAUUAUAACAGUACUGAAUAU